rnacentral:rRNA from 1 species
CUGACCGUAAACGAUGCCAACUAGCGAUCCGCCGGUGGAUUUUUAGCCCUGGUGGGUAGCUUCCCGGAAACGAAAGUCUUCCGGUUCCGGGGGAAGUAUGGUUGCAAAGCUGAAACUUAAAGGAAUUGACGGAAGGGCACCACCAGGAGUGGAGCCUGCGGCUUAAUUUGACUCAACACGGGGAAACUCACCCGGCCCGGACACCGUAAGGAUUGACAGAUUGAUAGCUCUUUCAUGAUUCGGUGGUUGGUGGUGCAUGGCCGUUCUUAGUUCGUGGAUCGAUUUGUCUGGUUUAUUCCGAUAACGAGCGAGACUCUAGCCUACUAAAUAGUAACGAGAUUAUCAAUGUCUCAGUUGCUUCUUAGAGGGAUUUUCGGUGUUUAGCCGCACGAGAUUGAGCAAUAACAGGUCUGUGAUGCCCUUAGAUGUCCGGGGCUGCACGCGCGCUACACUGGCGAAAUCAGCGUGCUGUAUCCAUUCUCGAAAGGGAUUGGUAAACCCAUGAAAAUUUGCCGUGCUUGGGAUCGGAAAUUGCAAUUAUUUUCCGUGAACGAGGAAUUC